UACGUAGGGUGCAAGCGUUAAUCGGGAUUACUGGGCGUAAAGCGUGCGCAGGCGGUCUCUUAAGACAGGUGUGAAAUCCCCGGGCUUAACCUGGGAACUGCGCUUGUAACUGAGAGGCUAGAGUGUGGCGGAGGGGGGUGGAAUUCCACGUGUAGCAGUGAAAUGCGUAGAUAUGUGGAGGAACACCGAUGGCGAAGGCAGCCCCCUGGGCUAACACUGACGCUCAUGCACGAAAGCGUGGGGAGCAAACAGG
rnacentral:rRNA from 1 species